rnacentral:rRNA from 1 species
CACCAAGAAAUUAAGUCAUAUCUCCACGGUAAAAAAGCGGUUAAACUAAAUAUCUAAAGCUAUAAGAUAAUUUAUAAAAAGGUAAAAUUUGAACAUAAACUUAUAUACUAACAAUAACUUAUGUAGUUGAACCCGCGAGAGCCCUGAGGGAAACUGGGAUUAGAUACCCCAUUAUUCUUGGCCAUAAAUUUGAUCAAAAUCUACCAGAGUACUACGAAUACUACAAAAUUUAAAACUCAAAGGGCUUGGCGGUGUUUUAGACCACUCAGGGGAACCUGUCUCAUAAUCGACAAUCCACGAUAAACCUAACCUUUUCUUGCUUCAGUUUGUAUACCGUCGUCGUCAGGUAACUUUUAAAAAACCAGAAGUUAGCUAGAAAACACUAUAAAUUAAAACGUCAGAUCAAGGUGCAGCUCACGAAAAGGUGCAGAUGGGUUACAUUUAUCUAAUUAUAACUACGUAAAAUCAUCCUAAUAAAUGAUUACAAGGAGGACUUGAAAGUAAAUUAAAUUAUAUAAACAAUUUGAAUAAGGCUCUGAAACGUGC